AAGGGAGACCUAAUUCAGGUAGGAGACGAAAAAAAGUAGUCCCUACCAAGAAUCAAUUCCAAAAGGUCGGAGCGAGGCAAAAUUGGCUUUCAAACUAGGUUCUGGGUUCACAUAAGACCUGAAUCAGGAACAAGGGCUAUUAGCUCAGGUGGUUAGAGCGCACCCCUGAUAAGGGUGAGGUCCCUGGUUCGAGUCCAGGAUGGCCCACCUGCACAGGUGGCAAAAACAAAGAAAAAAAGCUCCGAAUCAGCACCUUAUCUUACUCAUAUAGUAAGAGAGAAUGCUGGCUCUGAGUUCAGAGUCCAGAGGAACCUUGAAAACUGCAUAGAGCUAGGUGAAAAAGCCAAAAAAGAAGACCGCAAGGUCAAGCUAAUAAGGGCUAACGGUGGAUACCUAGGCAC
rnacentral:tRNA from 1 species